CAAACACUUGUUUCUUCGCAUAGAAACAACUCUUCGUUAAUCUGAGUAUGGAACGAAUACUUUAUAUCAUGAACUAUAAAUGUGGAUACAAAAAAUGAAAAACUAAGCAAAAUUGUUAAUCCCGCAUUGCACGAAAAAAUGUGUUGUAUUGCAGUAAAUAACACGUGUUCUUGUUUGAUUGUAAUCACGUAGUAGUCCAUCAUGC
rnacentral:lncRNA from 1 species